CAGUUCUGUGGAGGGUGAUGGACUGGUGAUUUCCUCCUGCCUGUCACUGCAGCAGCAAACUCUGCUCACCUGCAGCACCCACCAGCACCUUCCCUUCAAGCUGCCCUGGCAGAGGGAAACGAUGGCGCCGGGGCAGGGGGAGUGAAACUCCCGAGAGCGCGGCCCGGGCGGGAGCGGAACCCGCAGAAUUCCCCAUGGUGUCCUGCUUCAGAGCCCUCCCCGCCCUGCACGGCCCCGAGGAGCUGCAGCCGAGCUGGGAGCGGCUCUGGGAAAGGGGAACUGAUGAAGACAGAGAGGAAACAAGAGGCACCAAAAUGCCAUUUGCAUGGAUCCUGCCCUCAGCAAUUUGGUUGGUGCUUCACUUCACAGCAGAGUCCUGCAGGAGAGGGGCGCUGAGUGCCAGCAGAGCCGCCCGUGGCGCCGCAGAGCUG